GACGAACGCUGGCGGCGUGCUUAACACAUGCAAGUCGAACGAAGAGCGAUGGAAGCUUGCUUCUAUCAAUCUUAGUAGCGAACGGGUGAGUAACGCGUAAUCAACCUGCCCUUCAGAGGGGGACAACAGUUGGAAACGACUGCUAAUACCGCAUACGAUCUAAUCUCGGCAUCGAGGAUAGAUGAAAGGUGGCCUCUACAUGUAAGCUAUCACUGAAGGAGGGGAUUGCGUCUGAUUAGCUAGUUGGAGGGGUAACGGCCCACCAAGGCGAUGAUCAGUAGCCGGUCUGAGAGGAUGAACGGCCACAUUGGGACUGAGACACGGCCCAGACUCCUACGGGAGGCAGCAGUGGGGAAUCUUCCGCAAUGGACGAAAGUCUGACGGAGCAACGCCGCGUGAGUGAUGACGGCCUUCGGGUUGUAAAGCUCUGUUAAUCGGGACGAAAGGCCUUCUUGCGAACAGUUAGAAGGAUUGACGGUACCGGAAUAGAAAGCCACGGCUAACUACGUG
rnacentral:rRNA from 1 species